GAUGAACGCUAGCGGGAGGCUUAACACAUGCAAGUCGAGGGGCAGCAUAGGGUAGCAAUACUCUGAUGGCGACCGGCAAACGGGUGAGUAACGCGUAUGUAACCUACCCUGUACAGGGGGAUAACCCGGAGAAAUUCGGACUAAUAUCCCAUAACAAUAUCCGGGGGCAUCUUUGGAUAUUUAAAGUUCCGGCGGUACGGGAUGGGCAUGCGUAACAUUAGCUAGUUGGUAAGGUAACGGCUUACCAAGGCUUUGAUGUUUAGGGGUCCUGAGAGGGUGGUCCCCCACACUGGUACUGAGACACGGACCAGACUCCUACGGGAGGCAGCAGUGAGGAAUAUUGGUCAAUGCCCGGAAGGGUGAACCAGCCAUGCCGCGUGCAGGAUGACGGCCCUAUGGGUUGUAAACUGCUUUUGGAUAGGAAGAAUGGAUUGUAUUGAUAUGAUUUUGACGGUACUAUCAGAAUAAGCACCGGCUAACUCCGUGCCCAGCAGCCGCGGUAAAACGUGCGUG
rnacentral:rRNA from 1 species